GAAAGUUGUGGCUCAGUGGUUAAGGUUCUUGGUUACUGAUCAAAAGGUCGGGAGUUCAACACUGCCAAGCUGCCA